rnacentral:rRNA from 1 species
GGGUUAAGUCCCGCAACGAGCGCAACCCUCGCUGUUAGUUGCCAUCAUUUAGUUGGGCACUCUAACGGGACCGCCGGUGAUAAGCCGGAGGAAGGUGGGGAUGACGUCAAGUCAUCAUGGCCCUUACGGGCUGGGCUACACACGUGCUACAAUGGCGACCAUAAAGGUUUAAUCUCCAAAAGUCGUCUCAGUUCAGAUUGUCCUCUGCAACUCGAGGGCAUGAAGUCGGAAUCGCUAGUAAUCGCAGAUCAGCACGCUGCGGUGAAUACGUUCCCGGGCCUUGUACACACCGCCCGUCACACCAUGGGAGUUGGUUCUACCCGAAGGCAGUGCGCCAACCGCAAGGAGGCAGCUGACCACGGUAGGGUCAAUGACUGGGGUGAAGUCGUAACAAGGUAGCCGUAGGGGAACCUGCGGCUGGAUCACCUCCUUU